CCUACGGGUGGCAGCAGUGGGGAAUAUUGGACAAUGGGGGCAACCCUGAUCCAGCCAUGCCGCGUGUGUGAAGAAGGCCCUCGGGUUGUAAAGCACUUUCAGUGAGGAAGAACGCCUGGUGGUUAAUACCCAUCAGGAAAGACAUCACUCACAGAAGAAGCACCGGCUAACUCCGUGCCAGCAGCCGCGGUAAUACGGAGGGUGCGAGCGUUAAUCGGAAUUACUGGGCGUAAAGCGCGCGUAGGUGGCUUGAUAAGCCGGUUGUGAAAGCCCCGGGCUCAACCUGGGAACGGCAUCCGGAACUGUCAAGCUAGAGUGCAGGAGAGGAAGGUAGAAUUCCCGGUGGAGCGGUGAAAUGCGUAGAGAUCGGGAGGAAUACCAGUGGCGAAGGCGGCCUUCUGGACUGACACUGACACUGAGGUGCGAAAGCGUGGGUAGCAAACAGGAUUAGAUACCCGUGUAGUC
rnacentral:rRNA from 1 species